rnacentral:rRNA from 1 species
ACGCUGGCGGCGUGCCUAAUACAUGCAAGUAGAACGCUGAAGAGAGGAGCUUGCUCUUCUUGAAUGAGUUGCGAACGGGUGAGUAACGCGUAGGUAACCUGCCUUGUAGCGGGGGAUAACUAUUGGAAACGAUAGCUAAUACCGCAUAACAAUGGGUGACACAUGUCAUUUAUUUGAAAGGGGCAAUUGCUCCUCUACAAGAUGGACCUGCGUUGUAUUAGCUAGUAGGUGAGGUAACGGCUCACCUAGGCGACGAUACAUAGCCGACCUGAGAGGGUGAUCGGCCACACUGGGACUGAGACACGGCCCAGACUCCUACGGGAGGCAGCAGUAGGGAAUCUUCGGCAAUGGGGGCAACCCUGACCGAGCAACGCCGCGUGAGUGAAGAAGGUUUUCGGAUCGUAAAGCUCUGUUGUAAGUCAAGAACGAGUGUGAGAGUGGAAAGUUCACACUGUGACGGUAGCUUACCAGAAAGGGACGGCUAACUACGUGCCAGCAGCCGCGGUAAUACGUAGGUCCCGAGCGUUGUCCGGAUUUAUUGGGCGUAAAGCGAGCGCAGGCGGUUUGAUAAGUCUGAAGUUAAAGGCUGUGGCUCAACCAUAGUUCGCUUUGGAAACUGUCAAACUUGAGUGCAGAAGGGGAGAGCGGAAUUCCAUGUGUAGCGGUGAAAUGCGUAGAUAUAUGGAGGAACACCGGUGGCGAAAGCGGCUCUCUGGUCUGUAACUGACGCUGAGGCUCGAAAGCGUGGGGAGCGAACAGGAUUAGAUACCCUGGUAGUCCACGCCGUAAACGAUGAGUGCUAGGUGUUGGAUCCUUUCCGGGAUUCAGUGCCGCAGCUAACGCAUUAAGCACUCCGCCUGGGGAGUACGACCGCAAGGUUGAAACUCAAAGGAAUUGACGGGGGCCCGCAC